GCAAUCAAGAUUCCCCUUUUUCCUUGAUUGCAAUGCGUUUUUAUACCUCUCUUAUCUUCUGGGUCCAUUUCUUUCUCUUCUUUAACUUCAAUUUCUUCUCACUUUCCAUCCUUUUCUUGCCUACAAACAAUGUCACUCUCUAUGGCGAUGCACACCUUAGAAACAAUGGCAUUAGUCUCACUCAAGGACACGGUUGCUCCCACCCACCUUCCUUCCCUUUCUUCUCCUCUGCUCCUUCUUCUUCUUCUUAUUCUGGUGUUGGAAGAGCUCUCUAUCUAUACCCAAUUCGGUUUUUUGAUCCCACAACCAAUAUGACUGCAUCUUUCUUUUGCCGUUUCUCCUUCUCCAUCAUCCCAUCUCCACUGUGUCCUUUUGGUGAAGGUAUGGCGUUCUUCAUCACCUCUAAUGCCGAAUCUUUCAGUCUUUCUAAUGGCUACAUGGGCCUUCCAGGG
rnacentral:misc_RNA from 1 species